UACCCGCUCCCCGAGUGGUGGGGACGAUUAUUGGGCUUAAAGCGUCCGUAGCCGGCCUGGUAAGUCUCUCGUUAAAUCCAACGGCCUAACCGUUGGACUGCGGGCGAUACUGCCAGGCUAGGGGGCGGGAGAGGCCGGCGGUAUUCCCGGGGUAGGGGUGAAAUCCUAUAAUCCCGGGAGGACCACCAGUGGCGAAGGCGGCCGGCCAGAACGCGCCCGACGGUGAGGGACGAAAGCUGGGGGAGCGAUCCGG
rnacentral:rRNA from 1 species